GUGUUACAGAUACGGCCACUUUUCCUAUUAUAUUAUAAAAGAAAACAUUUCGAAACGCCCUGUUUAUAGUUUAAACAAUUUCAAUAGUUUCUCUUAACAAAAUAGACAAGCAAAAUAAACAAGGCAAUAAAAUUAAAUGCAAACUUCAAAAUCAAAAACUUUUUUCAGAAACGAGAAGAACUUCAAAGCGAGUGGAUGUUCGCGCGCGUGUUCUUAAAAAAAAUAAUUUUAAUUAAAUAAAAAGAAAAUAAGAUAUAAGUGUAAAUUUUGAUAUAGAAUAAAGAAUACAAAAUUAUUAAAGAAAAUUCCUAAUUAAAAAAAGUAGGUUAAAAAGAGUAUAAAUAAAAAAGAAAAUUAUAUAAAUUAAAAAAAAUAAAAAUUUUAAGGGAAAAUUCAAUAAAAUUGUGUUGAGAAGUGUAACAGAAGAAAAUUAAUAAAAAAAGUAGUGUGCAAUAUAUGUAGUAGUGUUUUUGUUGUUGUUUUUUUUUGGGAGCACCCCAUCAGUUAACAAAACACGAAACCGGGCAACAAUAAAAUAAAUAGUAAAAUUUUUUUCAAUUUUCUUAUAAAUAAACUAUUUCAAACAUAAAUUGAUACUAGUUCUUCACUUUUUUCAAAUCUCUACUAACUAUAAACAACAACUACUUUUACCAUAAAUUUCUAAACAAAAGCUGUUAUCAUUCACAACAAUAACAACAACAUUCUUUACCACACAUGUCAUCGUCUCUCACACCAAACACCCACUUAACAACUAUUUGAACUUUAACUACUACAAC